rnacentral:lncRNA from 1 species
CUUGGACCCAGCCUCCCCCGUGGAUUCAGUUACUGCUCUGUUUUCAUGUGGUAUGGACUGUUAACCUGAAGAGGACGGGAGGAUUAGCCCUACUAUAUCUAGAAUAUGGCAGAUGUGUAACAUUAAAAUUGGGAGUUCCCGUUGUGGUUCAGCGGGUUACAAGCCUGGUUAGUAUCCAAGAAGAUGCGGCUUAAAGAUCCGGCCUUGCCGUGAGCUAUGGCGCCUAGGUCGCAGACACAGCUGGGAUCUGGCGUUCCUGUGGCUGUGGCAAAAGCCAGUACUUCUAUAUGCUGCAGGCACGGCCUUAAAAAGCGAAAAAGAAAAGAAAAUGUAAAGUGUUUGUUUUGUAAUGUAGAUUCUAGCUGGGCAGCGUGCCUCAGUUUUUAUUUCUGCUUUGGUUUUGCUCUGAGAUUAUACGAAGAAGGUUCCACAGGCCUUUCCUGAAAGCACUACCUUGUAUGUAGGGGGUGUCCCUUCUAGAUGAUAAGAUCAUUCUUCUAUCAAAGGAAGUUUUUUUUUUUUUCCUUUUCUUUUUUCUUUUUCAUUUCUGUCUUUUAAUACAUACUUACUUGCCUUUUCUAUUCUGUGGUUCAUUUAUGAAAUUAAGAACUAAAGAAUUUUUUGGAGUCCUUGUAUGGCACGGAGGAUUAAGGGUCUGCCAUUGUCAAUGCAGUGGCUGGGGUCACUGCUGUGGUGCAGAUUCAAUCCCUGGUCACCCAGGCAGCCAAAAAUAAAAAAGAACUGAAGAAUUUUUCAUGUCAAGGAGAGAUAUUUAUAUAAUGUUAAGUGAGAAAGCACACAAAGCUACAGUGUGUGUGUGUAGUAUGCACAAUACAUAUAAAAUGCAUACACCUCCCCUUGCACACCCACGGAGAAAAGGCUGGAAAAAAUUGAAACAGUGUUGGCAGUUUUGCUGUUUUCAGGUUCAUGGUUGACUGGUUUUCACUUUCUUUAAACUUCUGAUUUAAAAUGUUAUACAUUGCUACAGUGUUCUCAAGUGUUCCAAUGGCUGUGUUACUUUUAUUAUUAUUUAAAAAAUAAACAUUUUAGAAGAAAAAAAAACUUUUUUUUUCAUAAAACAGGUGUUUCUUAUCUCCUUUACCAGAAUAGUUGAGAGAAAAGUUACACUGAGGUUGGUUGGUUGGUUGGUUGAUUUGUUGAGGAAAGAAUUAAUAUUCCUGUUUCAAUGAUGCCAUUUUCACCACGAGAGUUUCCUUUUCUUUGGACUCCUAAUCCCUUCUGAGCUCCUCCACACUGAGAGAGUCUUUUUUUUUUUUUUUUGUCCAUAUUCCCCACUGGGCACACACUGCUUUGAUGUGUUAUUUUUGUGAUUAUGCUCUGCUUUUCCAACAAAUUCUAACAAUGUAUGCUCUUUAGGAUGCAGUCUAAGCAUCCUCUUUGAUAUAACAAAGACCCAAAAUACAGCAGUUUAGACAAAAUAGAAGUUUAUUUCUUCUUAUGUAACAAUCUAGAAAUAGGUAGUUCAGCUCAGAGUAGGACCUUUCUUCUGUAACAGCUCACACUGAAUUGGCUCAAAUUAAGUGUUCAGUGAUUAUGUAUUUGGUUUAAUUGGGUCAAAACCUUGACUUAGAAUAGCAAAAGUUUCUUUUCCAUGUGUUCAAGAAUGGCUUUGCCAGAGUUUCCUUAUGGCUCAGCAGGUUAAGGACCUGGCAUUGUCACUGCUGUGGUCACCGUCAUUGCUGUGGUGCAGGUUCAGUCCCUGGCCUGGGAACUUCCACAUGCCCCAGGUUAGGGGUGCGGGGAAGAAUGGCUCUACCUUGCCCCUUGGAGGAAAGAAUACUUAAUGCUCUAUUCCAAAAGUAGCUUUUGUUGGAAUACAGAUUAGGUUGCUGUAUCCCAAAGAUACUGCAUGUGAAACGAGAUAGUUUGGGGGGUUUUUUCCUCUCAUAUGCUAAGAGGUAGGUGGUCUAGGACCCAGAGGGCAGCACUGUCCUCAUACAUAACUGCUAUCCCAGAACCUGCCAUCACAUCUGUAUCUUAGCCUAGCAGAAAGGAAAGGGGUGCACAUGUCAGUACUCCUAGGAGUGGGUCCCAGAGGUAGCAUACGUCAUUUCUAUUCAUUCCAUUGACCUGAUAGAGACACGGCCACAUCCGACUGUCAGGAAGGUGGGAGAUGUUCUCUAACUAGGCAACUGUGGAUCCAGCUAACACUUGACAGUUCAAAUAAUAAAGGAAGAAGAUAAGGAUGUACUUUGGUGGACAAUUCUAUUAUAGUCCACUAGUCUGGCUACCCAAAUUUGCCUGUCUGUCUGUCUAUCUAUCUAUCUGUCUAUCUAUCUAUACACUUCCUUCUUCUAACAUAUAGAACACACCCUAUUUUAAAAGGCAAGAAGCCAGAGUCCCAAGCAGUACUGCAUCCAGUUUAAAGUCCACAAUCUGAAGAUGAUGUGUGGUCCUUUACAAGUCUAGCUAUAACUCCUCAUGAUCCAGUGAUCUAUAAACUUAAAAAUGAGAUGACUGUUCUCUUCUCCCACUUCGUUCCCCACAUACCUAGUAUACAGUGAUGAAGUAGGAAUAGGAAAAUCAAUUUGGAAAAAAAAAAAAAAAAGGUGGCGGGAAGAAUAGUCCACAGUCUAAUCAAAUGUUGCAAAAGGGAAAUUUCAAAGAUUGCCCCGAUGGUGGAGUAAAUUCUUGGUUGGGCUUCAGUUGUGCUUACUAGAAGGAACACCUUGUUUCUUGCACCUGCAGGUACUGGCUUUACCCGCUCGGAGGUUCUUAGCCAUGAUUCUCCAUAAUUAUAUCUGAAGGGUAUAUUGAAGAGUAUAAACUCCUGGGAAGCUGCACAUCUUUUUAUGUCCAGUUUCUUACUGGUGCACUUUUGAGGGACUAUGAGUUACUUCAGGUCAAGUAUACACAGUUAUUGGCAAACUAAAUGGGUAGCUUCUCUGUCAGUUCCUUUCUUUUCUUUCUUUCUUUCUUUCUUUCUUUUUUUUUUUUUUUUUUUUCUUCUUCUUCAUACAAUCACACCUGCAGCAUAUGGAAGUUCCCAGGCUAGGAACUUCCAUAUGCCAGAGCUGCAUCUGCAACCUACACCACAGCCACAACAAUGCCAGAUCCUCAACCCACUGAGCAAGGCUAGGGAUCAAACCCACAUCUUCAUGGAUACUAGUCGGGUUCAUAACCUGCUGAGCCACAAUGAGAACUCUCUGUCAAUUCCAUUUUAAAGAUACUGAAGUACAAACACUAUGGAAAACAUUAUGGAGGUACCUCAGAAAACUAAAUAUAGAACUACCACAUGACCCAGAAAUCCCACUCCUGGGCAUAUAUCUGGACAAAAUUUUCCUUAAAAAGAUACACGAACCCAUAUGUUCACUGAGGCACUAUUUACAAUAGUCAAAACAUGGAAACAACCUAAACAUCCAUCGACAGAUGAAUCGAUUAAGAUAUGGUAUACUACUCAGCCAUUAAAAAGAACAAAAUAAUGUCAUUUGCAGCAACAUGGAUGGAACUAGAGACUCUCAUACUAAGUGAAAGAGAAAGACAUACUAGUCAGAAAGAGAAAGACAAAUACCAUAUGAUGUCACUUAUAUCUGGAAUCUAAUAUAUGGCACAAAUGAACCUUUCCACAGAAAAGAAACUCAUGGACUUGGAGAAGAGACUUGUGGUUGCCAGGGGGGACGGGGAGGAAGUGGGAUGGACUGGGAAUCUGGGGUUAAUAGAUGCAAACUAUUGCAUUUGGAGUGGAUAAGCAAUGAGAUUCUACUGUAUAGCACUGGAAACUAUAUCUAUAUCCUCUUGUGAUGGAACAUGAUGAAAGGAUAACAUGAGAAAAAGAAUGUGUGUGUGUGUGUGAGAGAGAGAGAGAGAGAGAGAUAGCACUCGCACACACCUAGGUCACUUUGCUGUAGAGUAGAAAAUUGACAGAACACUCUAAACCACCUACAAUGGAAAAAAUAAAAAUCAUUAAAAUAAAAAAAUAAAAGAUACUGAAUAGAUUUCUGGUGUAUCUGUCCCUUUUACAAUUCCUUGUACAAUUACCCACAGCUAUAGAUUUCAACUAGUCAUAUUUCUAAUGCAUAACUACUCUGUUUACUUACAAAGCUCUGUGUUUGCCCUAUUUAUUCUUUGUCUAUUGACCUAGUAGUAGGAGUUCCUUUGUGAUGCAGCACAUUAAGGAUCUGGUGCUGUCACUGCAGCUUGCGUCAGUGCUGUGGCACAGGUUUGAUCCCUGACCUGGGAGCUUCCACAUGUCAUGGGCGUAGCCAAAAAAAUUUCAAAUAACAAAAAUAAAUAAAAUAUUAAAAAAAAUUAACAACUUAAUAGCAAUGCCCUUGCGGCCAGCCAGAACAGCAGGUUUGGUUGGGAAGGCAAUCCCUUUAAUGAUCUCACUGCCUGCCUGGCUUCCAACGUCCAGCAGACAACACAUUGCUAAUGGCCCUUGAGAAGGGCCUUGGGCCACAGUUUUAUCUCCUGCUCUUGGGAGUAUAAUAGGUUUUGGCUUUAUCAAAACUAGAAGGCCCUGAAUAACCACUCUCAGUCAAUUUGCAUUGCCGACUGCAGGCAGAGAACUCCAAUCUCAGCAGAGCUUUAUUCCUUCCAUCUCUGUUAACAAAAAAUAAAUAAAUAAAAAGGCUAUCUUUUACCUCAGUUCAUCUUUCAUAGAAGAUUUUGCUAAAGGAGGAGGGAAACAAUACUCUCUCAUAGGUCAGAGAAUCAUCUUUCUGAUCAUUUUCCCAACAGCAACAGAUUCAAAGAGCAUGUGGUCUGCCUUCUGAAUUAUUGAGUUGAUGAUUCAGAUUUUUUUGUUUUGUUUUUGGUUGUACCCAUAGCAUGCAAAAGUUCUGAGGCCAAGGAUGGAACCCCUGCCACAGCAAUGACCCAAGCCACUGAACUGACAACGCUGGAUCCUUAACCCACUGAGCCACAGGGGAAAUCCCUGAGUUAACAAUUUUAUCAAAUGUUUAGUAGCAGCAUAAAACUGUUUGCCAGCUUUCCAGUAUGUAAUAUCUGUGUCCUUAUUGUCUGCCGCCCGCCCGUUAAACCAAUGCCACAUAGUUUAAUAUUAUGAAGUCUACAGAAAAGCUGCUAGAAUAUGUUGGUUUAGCAACAUUACAGGAUACCAGAUCUAUAUACAAAAAUCUGUUGUAGGAGUUUCAGUCGUGGCUCAGGGGGAACCAAUCUGACUAGUAUCCAUGAGGAUGCAGCUUCGAUCCCUGGCCUCAGCAGUGGGUUAAAGAUCCAGUGUUGCUGUGAGCUGUGGUGUAGGUGAUAAACACGGCUUGGAUCCUGUGGUGCUGUGGCUGAGGUGUAGGCAGACAGUUACGGCUCCAAUUCGACCCCCAACCUGGGAACCUCGAUAUGCCAUGGGUGUGGCC